AUUUGAUUCUCUACAAUAUUGACUUUUUUCAUGACUAAGCUUUAUUGCAUUGAUUGCAAAAAAAAGGUUAAAACUAAAACGUAAACCAAAUCAAAUUACAUUAAAAGUUUCGUGGAUUCUUCUAACAUGUAACUCAUAGUUUCAGCGCCAGUUACAGCGAGACGAGUGCAUACUGCUGCAGUAAUGAUUUGGCCAAUUAUCGUGAAUCGGUUAAUCGAUUUGUGGAAGAGGGGACCACAACAUAACAAACAAUUUUGUGUGUUGGUUUUUUUAAAACACGCAUUCUUCAGUGAAAUGUGUACUGUAAACCUUCGAGGAUGCGUCUGCAUGAUGGCGGAGUAUGUGGAUUGCAUUACGCAACAAUGCGGUAAGUACCUAAUAAACAGCAUAAUACAUUUUCAGCCCUCCAUGCGGGCUGUCCCAUUGAUUUGAUGAUCAUUUUGACAUUAUGAAUUUUUACUGUUUUUAGCACUCCAAUCAGGUGGUGCAAGCCGAUGUCCGACUUAUCGAGCGUCUGCGUCACGAUGAGACCGCUGGCGGGUCUGCUACUUGGUUGAGUUAAAUGGCACGCAAAUGAGGGGCCACGCAGAACGACAGAAGCGUCAAAUGAACUGUUUGGCAGCGUGUUGAGGUCGCUAACAGAUGAACGAUUCGCUUCAAGGAUCCACAUGGGCAAGAGAUCCCAGAUUUUGGAAUCUAUGCCAUGAUCGAAUAGACAGCCAAAACAAUGUCGAGUAGUACUGCUUCAAUGUGCUUUUUGAAGUUUUCGAGAAGGAGAGCGGCAUUUAUUACAGGGAAUGUGGGUAUACAAGCGGGAAGAAUUCAUAUAAUUCAUGGGUAAUUAAGUGUGUCUUUCUUACUUUAUGCAUAGACUGCCAGCAAUGUGAAGAAAGAUCGCAACCUGCAUCCCCUUGACACCAAUGUCUAAGGCACCAGAUUUUUCUGAACAAGUUACACGAGGAUGCGCAAAGCAAGUCGCCGUAUGGGCUCGAGAUCCUACGCUGGGCCACGAUUGGGCUGACUUCAACUUUGCCUGCUCCCAAAUUAAAGCAGAUAUUGAGCCGGGCCCUUGUGUGAAUAUGUGAGCUCUAAUGGAUGGCUUGCUUGUAUUCGUACCGGUGCGCUCAUCUAGCGAUGCUCUUAAAAGGUAAGGUGUAUAUUUAAACUUCCAACAACGCUCAUUUUACCCGUACACGUUUUUUGUUUUUCAGAUAAUCGAAACCUUUUCGACAUUAUGGAGCUGAUGUACGCGUCUGCUACAGCACAGUUCCACAAUCGGAAUCAUAUCACAAAAAUGAGCUAACCAUGUGGUAGUCCAGCUGGAGCUCGAAGACCGAGGAUGGCUGACGGGUCGUUCUUCCGGGAAAACAUGGCAUUACCUUGUACUACCUGAGCGAUUCCUUGAAUAGGAUUACAUCUUAUCCAUCGAAAUAACCGACAUCCAAUCUCAAAUUGAGGCCGAGUCGGAUUGAAACGUAGGAAGAUUAGUGUUCCAGCGUUGUAUACCAAUAAAAUUGCAGCAUGCUUUUGCUGCUUUUAAAUAUA
rnacentral:lncRNA from 1 species